CCCUUAAAUAAGUGGGACUCAAUGAAGUUAUAGGUUAACACGGCUAUUAAAUGGAUGCGGUUAGCAAAAACAAGAAUGAUCCUGUGAAGAGGACUAAGAAGUUAGCUACAAAAAAGUCUCAUGCCAUGAUUUCUAGAAAUGACCAAAACACAAAAUGUUAAAAGUUCAACAUUAUCCAAAAUCAGCAAUCAAUCCCCACUUGCACAGCCCUUACAGCCACAAUAUGCACACACUCCACAAUUUCCCCUUCUCUCAAGUGCCUGGGAAUGCGACAAACACAAGUUGUGCCAAAAUUGGUGAUCAAGUGGCUGCAAGCAUCGUAGGCAGCAAAGGCGCUAUAAAUAUCCUGGCUGCGGUUGAAAGAGAUAAAACAGAAUGAAUAUCUUUCACAUGAUAUAGCCAAAGAAAGGCAGAUGCAAUGUCAAUUUGCAAAGUUUUCAAUCCAUUUCAACUCAACAAUUUGGCGGUGCAUGUACAUCAGAGGCCAUUCAAGUUAUUUUAUAUAAGAGAGGGUGCUUCAUCCUUUUCACACACAGAAACAAUUUUGUAGACAUUUUCUGCGGGCGGUUAAUAAUUCCACUCCAUCUUCUGCAGUAAAGCACAUCUCAUCCUUGCCUCCGAUCCCUCUUCGUCAAAAACUCGUUACUGAACGUAGGUUGAAUUCCCAAUUGAACGUGGAAACUGUAAUAUAUCCUGUCUGGGGAAUACCAUAACACUUGUAGGGAAGUCAAUCAACAAAGUAUGGAAAUGCCUUGUUCUGAAGUCUCAUCGUAUGUUCAUCACCCACUUCUUCUGUGCUCAUUUUGCCCCUGAACAUGACCGAGGCUCCGAGGCACCAACCAUGCGGUAAGGGAUAAGCCAAAGGUUCUCUACAAGUGCUUGUAUAUCAGAGUUACGCUGGCCAGGGAAUCUAAAGCCGCUUGUGACACCGCUCACGGUUGCAGAAAUCAAAUGACUCACAUCACCCAUAGAGAGAAAACAGAGAGAGAAUUUUAUACUUGCAUGACACUUUUUUACUUCUCCGGCUACAGAUUUCAUGUACUGCUUCGUUGUCAAGAACGAUGCAAGGAUGUGUAUUAUCAGAGAGAUCACCAAGAAUCACACUGUACAGCUCAGUGUCUGCGUCUUGAAAUUUCUGGGAUGGGAAUACGGAGAAAGCGAGAAUCAUUUCCCUGAAUAAUAUUCUUGAUCUUUUGGGAUCAGCAACGUCCCCAUUCCAGGGAUUAAUUUCUGGUACUUGCGGUCCCUCCUCUAAUACAUUUAUGGUACUGUCAGUAUAUUAUAAAAGGGAGUUGGUACUCCCAGAGUAUUGAAAUCUUUUUUCCCAUUCCAAAA